AAGAUCAUUAGCCCAAAUGUUCCUUCCAUCAACCAAUCCGGCAAAGAGGUAUUUUCCUUUAGGGAAUUCACCCUUAAUCAAAUCAAGGGUCUUAGUACCACGAACUAAAUCAAAACCAUAUGCGGUGACACCUUUCAAGGAAGUGAGGGUCUUGAAUGCCUCAGCAGGAACAUCAGCAAAGUAGGUCUCAAUAAGAACAUUCAAGCCAGAUAGAGUUGAUUCCAGGUGAGAGUAGGCAUCAGUGAAUGCUUGCAACUUGUGAGAAUCAAGAUCCAUAACAAGCGUGGGCUCAUCAAACUGAAUCCAUGAAGCUCCAGCAGCCUUAAGCUCAGA
rnacentral:lncRNA from 1 species